rnacentral:rRNA from 1 species
GUAGUCCACGCCCUAAACGAUGUACACUAGUUGUUGGGGUGCUAGUCAUCUCAGUAAUGCAGCUAACGCAUUAAGUGUACCGCCUGGGGAGUACGGUCGCAAGAUUAAAACUCAAAGGAAUAGACGGGGACCCGCACAAGCGGUGGAGCAUGUGGUUUAAUUCGAAGAUACGCGAAGAACCUUACCUGGGCUUGAUAUCCUAAGAACCUUUUAGAGAUAAGAGGGUGCUAGCUUGCUAGAACUUAGAGACAGGUGCUGCACGGCUGUCGUCAGCUCGUGUCGUGAGAUGUUGGGUUAAGUCCCGCAACGAGCGCAACCCACGUAUUUAGUUGCUAACGGUUCGGCCGAGCACUCUAAAUAGACUGCCUUCGUAAGGAGGAGGAAGGUGUGGACGACGUCAAGUCAUCAUGGCCCUUAUGCCCAGGGCGACACACGUGCUACAAUGGCAUAUACAAUGAGACGCAAUACCGCGAGGUGGAGCAAAUCUAUAAAAUAUGUCCCAGUUCGGAUUGUUCUCUGCAACUCGAGAGCAUGAAGCCGGAAUCGCUAGUAAUCGUAGAUCAGCCAUGCUACGGUGAAUACGUUCCCGGGUCUUGUACUCACCGCCCGUCACACCAUGGGAGUUGAUUUCACUCGAAGCCGGAAUACUAAACUAGUUACCGUCCACAGUGGAAUCAGCGACUGGGGUGAAGUCGUAACAAGGUAACCGUAGGAGAACCUGCGGUUGGAUCACCUCCUUUCUA